CAUGCCUUGAUUUACAAGGCAAGUUUUUUUUAUACACAGUUAGCUUGGUCUUUAAGCUAAUAUGUAUGGUACACAGCCAACUUGUUGACCACAUUUUUAAUCCAAAAAGUCAAUUAUAGAUACCUAUUAAUAUUAAAUGAACACAAUAAGUAAAAUACAAGUAAGUAGAAAUCAACAAGGUUAGACACAAAAGAAGUGUAGAAUGAGAUACCUCCCACUUCCAACACCCUUUAUUUAUAGGUGGUGGUUACUAACUAACAAAAUAACUUCCAUCCUCUUGAUAUUAUAUCCAUUUCUACUUCAUCUAACUAAAUCCUAGGUUCUUUCUUAACCUAGCUACUACCUUACUUACUUCCCUUCAUCUUUUUGCUGCCUUUUAACUAUUAGCAACUUACUUAAGGUAAUGCUUACUUACUUUAACACUCCUACUUUGCUAUUGUUCAAAGGCUAUUAAUUCUAGUACCUUUGUUAAAUUCUGAUGCCUAUCCUUCACUAGUGCUUUUGUGAGCAAAUCUGCAAGCAUGUCUUCUAUUCCACAAUACUUCAUGUCAAUCACUCCCAUUUCAAUCUUCUCUUUUAUGAAGUGAUGUU
rnacentral:lncRNA from 1 species